rnacentral:tRNA from 1 species
UCCCAAAUGGUCUAGUGGUUAGGAUGCCGCCCUCUCACGGCGGCGGCCUGGGUUCGAUCCUGCUUGGGAA